rnacentral:tRNA from 1 species
GCUGGGUGUAGCUCAGGGGUAGAGAGCUUGCCUAACAUGUGCAAGGCCCUGGGUUCAAUUUCCAGCACUGCA